GGAUGUGAGAGGGAUCUGGCUGAGACAUCUGUUAUCCCAGUAAUCAUAAUCACCAGGAUUGAUUCAGCUGAUACAUUCAGCUAUAGUGAGCAUCCUCUUCCUCCCUCAGUGCUUCCUGUGUGUCCAUCCAGAAACUGUGCACUCCCUGAAGGAGACAACCUUCCCCAAAAUAGAGAUAAACUGAUCUUUGGCUGAAAGUAUUACUAGUAUCUAUGCUCUCCUGCUCAAGCCUUCUAAGUCUCAAUGCUAAAUAAACAUGUAUUUCUUACUAAUAAACAAU
rfam:Erinaceus europaeus unplaced genomic scaffold scaffold00545, whole genome shotgun sequence